UUUCUUAGCCUGGUACAGGAAAUACCAUGAUCACCACAACUCUUGUAAGCUAAGAAGUAGUUUUCUCACAGUGAAGCCUGCCCCUUUCACUCUGGCCAUGCUGACCCCUGAAAGUUUCCCCAGAUGCAGAAAACUGAACUACACAAUUUUGUGACAAUGGGGGGCUGCUUUCCUGCUUUCUGCCU
rnacentral:snRNA from 1 species